GGCGUUUCAUCAUGUUGGCCAGCUGGUCUUGAACUCCUGACCUCAGGUAGUUUGCUUGCCUUGGCCUCCCGAAGUGCUGAGAUUACAGGUGUGAGCCACCAUGCCUGGCUAAGAUGCCAUUCUUAUGUCCUCAUGUUAUUCACAGUCUGAUAAGAGAAACAGACCUGUAUACAGAUUAUCGUGCAGUGGAGGGGAACAGGAGCUUUGAGAGAGGAACGUACAGUGCUCAUUGGUGGGCAUGUGGGAGGGAGAUUUCUGCUCAGUUGGGGGAGCCUGGAAAUGCAGCAUCCUUUUGAGCUGCGUUUUGAAGGAUACAUAAGAUCCCAGGGGCAUGGUGCAUUUUGGGAAGGCAGCUUAUCUUUUUAGCCCAGCUGCUGCUCCUUUGCUGGAGCUUCCUCUUUCCAGGGCAUGAUUUGGAAGGACAGAGUUUUACUGUUAUUAAGGACACAGAGUUCUCCAAGGUGCAUAGCCCAGGGGAUGGAAUGGAGCAGGGGAUGUAUGUAUGUGUGGAAAAAAUCCACCUUGGUUUGAAUUCUUGUCUGGCUAUUUCUGAACUAUAUGACCUUAUGGGGACCCUUCCCGAUAUGGUCAUCUCUACAGGAGAUUUCCUAUCCCUACCCAGCUGGUUUCAUGUUGGCCUGGUGACUUUCAGCCAAUGGGAUGAGUCAGUGGAGAUGAUAUAUGUGCCACUUUUUGGCAGACACUGUAAGAACCCUUGUGUGGUCACCUUUUCCCUUCCCUUUUUGUGAUGCUAUGGGUAAUUUUUACUAUUUCCCAAGUGUUGUGCCUCACCUUCCCUUUUCAUCUUGGCCUCGAGACCAUCAGAUUUCCAUAAGGGGGUUGCUUCUUUAACCUUCAUCCUGGAAUGAAGGGAGGAGGGGGCAGAGCAGAAACAGAGCUACAAGGGUGUGUCGCAUUCCAGAGGAAUGAAUGGUUGCUAUCUAAGCCACGGAGACCUUUGAAGGCAUCUGUUAGCACUACAUGAUGUAGCCUAAGAUGACCAAAAGAGCAAGGCGUGUUGCCUUUCUCUGUGUGUGUUUGCUCAUCUGUAGAAGUGCGUUGACAGUUGUAGUUACCUUAUGGGGGUCUGGUGAAGAUUAGGUGGAACGGCUAAGUAAAAGUGCAGUGUCUAGCCUAUAGUGUGUCUACACUUUGCAGAUGUCUAAGACUCCUCUUCCAGUCCCUUGUCUCUGCCAUAAUUAUUUCUACCCCAGGGCCUGUGCACAUCCAUGCUGUUCUCUUUGCCGGGGGUAUUCUAUCUUUCCCUCAUUCCCUUCUUUACUCAAAAUUCCAUAGGUAGACCUAGCUCCUCCAGGAGGCCAGCUAAGGAUAGGCUUAGAGCCCCAGGAGAGGCAGGUCAUGAAAGGGAUGAAAACGGUUGCAUUUCAACAACCAGUAUCAGGAAAUCUAGAAAAGAGUUCCUUUAAUAUCAGCAUGCACACAUAUUUCGUGUUUUACGGUUUUGCAUUGUUUUAAUUUCAGUUUACAUAGGGGAUUGCAGAGAUGGCUCCCUCAUCUUUUCUAAGCUUAAGGUGUCUGAAGAUCUUUACCUGCUCCUGUCCACAGACAGCAGGGCCGGGAGAAAGGGAUGGGGAGAGUCCCUCCUGCCACUGACCCAGGAUGGAUAAAAGUACCCCCUUCAUAGAAGAAGAAAAUGGGAACAAAAGUGCUGCUGACCAUCUGAGGUUGCCUGCAUGACAGUUAAGAACAUGGACCUUUGGGGCACAAUUAUACACGCAGGAGGCUAUAGGAGCAGACACAACAGGGCCUGCGGUGGAUGCUGUUGGGGUCCCACCCAUAUUACCCUGAUGAAAUACUGUGGCACAGAGAAGACAAGCAACUCACCCAAGGUGGCACAGCUAGUAAGCAGAAGAGCCGGGAUUUGAACCAGGCAGCCCACCUGGGAGGAAUUUUCCGGAGAUCGCUGUCUGAUGACCCUGUCUGGGAAUUGGAGCCAUCCAAGUUACACUGACCGUGUUUGGGUUGGGAUAUUGAGGAGGCUGUGGUUAAAAGUAUACGAUGGGAGAUCAUAUUGUACUUGCGAGUGAGAUCCGGCUGGAGGAAUGUUCUAGUUCUUCAGAAAUACCAGCAGGUCUCUGAGUAUUCCUCCUGGUCCUUUGGGAUGCUGACAGAGGAGCAGAUAUACAGCAUCUCUGCCAUGAUAUAGGGCUGCUGCGGUGCACAACUGUCUCCCAAGAAGGUACUGCAGGGGUGUAAAACUUCUCCUCCCUGCAUUGUCAGUGCGUGUCUCCAUGGAUGUCUGCUGGCUUUUUCAAAAAUCCUUGUAGAACAGUGGUUCUCAAAUGGUGAUUUUGUCCCCCUCGCCCCAGGGGACCUUUGGCAAUGUCUUGAGAUGUUUUUGGUUGCCGUGAUUGAGGAGGUGCUACCUGCAUCUGCUGGGCAGAGGCCAAGGAUGCUGCUCAACAUGCCACGAUGCACAGGACACGCUUCUCUACAGCAAUGAAUUAUCCAGUCCACAAUCUCAAUAGCACCAAAAUUGAGAAACCCUGUUGAAGAUGGAGCCUAUCCAUGGGGCAGUGAUCUUGGAGUCUCCCGCUUCCUGAAUACUUGGAGUCCCUCUGCAGACUCUUGAAUACCUCCAGCAAUGGGGAGCUCACCACCUGUUUUGAAGCCAGGCAGGUCUGGGCUCUUCUUGUGACUGUGUGACUCUGGAUUUUCCCAUAGGUGGGAGUGGCUCCACCACCUUGAGCUUCAGUUUCCCCCAGUGCCAUGGGAUUAGCAGCAGCCCUGCCUCACAGACGGUGCGAGGAUGAAAUGAGAUGAUGUGCCAGAGUUGGCUGGUGCGGUGCAGGGUAUACAGAGAGUGCUCAAUAAACGUUCCCUGCUGCGAAUGCCCUGUCCUGGGUCACUCGCCUGCAUUGUGGAGCAGAUGAACGAUCAGAACACAGGUUCAAGUGAGCUUCCCCAAAUUGGAGAACUAGCCAGCAACCAAAGCUGUGAUUCAAAUCCAAGAUCGACACACCAGGGGAGAGAUUUCUGCUUUUCCCCACUUGUCUUCGUCUGUUUGAGCUGCUAUCAGAGAAUACCGGAGACUAAGUAAUUCACAUGCAGAAGUUUAUUGCUCACAGCUCUGGAGACUGAGAGGUACAAAAUCAAGGUGCUGGUAGACUUGGAGAUUCUGAUUCCAAGAUAGUGCCUCGAAUGCUGCAUCCUCCAAAGGGGAGGAACAAAACACUUCAUCUUCACAUAGCAGAAGGCAGAAAAGAGGCCAAAGAGAGCCAAACUCAUCCUUUAUAAUGGCAUUGAUCCCACCCAUGAGGGCAGAACCCUCAUGACCCAUCCGCCUCCCAAAGGUCCCAUCUCUCUCCACUGUUCCAACAGCAGUUAAAUUUCAACACGAGUUUUGGAGACACACAUUCAAACCCUAGCGCUGCUGGAAGGUUUUCUCCUAGGGUGUGUUUGAAGGAGCAUAGGAUAUGGGGCUGAAGUCACCUGGGUUCAAGUUCCACCCCUGCCUUGUGUGCGCUUAUGGGGCAGCAUUGGGGCCAAUGAAGUUCUCAAUGGGGCCAAUGGAAUUCUCACUGGAACCAAUAAAGCCAGUCCCUGGGA